UAACAUAUCUCUCUUUUCAGAUGUGAAGGUUAUCUUGGACCUGACCCCUAACUAUCAUGGCCAGUUACCCUGGUUUAGCCAAGAUGUAUGGCUUCAGGGGGAUUUCCAGAACAAAAUGAAAGAAGCAAUCCAGUUUUGGCUGAGGAAAGGUGUCUCCGGAAUCCAGUUCGGAAGCAUCGAGCAUUUGAAUGAUCCCCAACUCUUGAGUGAGUGGAAGAACAUAACAGAACAAGAGGCUGUUGAUGAUCAGCGUGGGUGAGUUAAAAACAGGCACAUUUCUU